GUUAGGAAUAUUGGACAAUGGACGCAAGUCUGAUCCAGCCAUGCCGCGUGAGUGAUGAAGGCCUUCGGGUUGUAAAGCUCUUUAGCCGAUGAUUAUAAUGACUGUAGUCGGAAAAUAAGCCCCGGCUAACUUCGUGCCAGCAGCCGCGGUAAUACGAAGGGGGCGAGCGUUAUUCGGAAUCACUGGGCGUAAAGCGUGCGUAGGCGGUUUUGUAAGUUGGGAGUGAAAGCCCAGGGCUCAACCCUGGAAUUGCUCUCAAAACUACAAGACUUGAAUUCGGGAGAGGAUAGCGGAAUUGUCAGUGUAGCAGUGAAAUGCGUAGACAUUGACAGGAACACCAGUGGCGUAAGCGGCUAUCUGGACCGACAUUGACGCUGAGGCACGAAAGCGUGGGGAUCAAACAGGAUUAGAUACCCUGGUAGUCC
rnacentral:rRNA from 1 species